rnacentral:lncRNA from 1 species
CGCAUGCGCUUCUUCAGGUGGGCGUGUGUAAGGCGGGGUCGGACGGGGGAUGGGAGGGCCGUGCUGCUGGUCGCUCCUCCUCCUCCACCCGCUCUGCCCCUCCUGGACCUUGUGGGCCGGGCAGCCAUUUUGGGAAGAGCUUUGUUAUGGUUGUGGACUAGCCGCCUCUGCCGGGUCGACAAGCUGGGGACGCGUCCUCAGACGCAGCGUCUAGUCCCUGGCCAUAGCUCCGCCGCUGCCCGUUGGUGUCUCACCUUUAACUCUCCUUAUGCUGGGUGAAAACAAAGAGUGAUAGAUUCGUGUGGCCUUUCAAAUGAUUGUGAAGUGGUGGAAAUGGAUCCAAAAUAAUAAGUGACUUCUCUACCAAAGCAUAGAAGAUUCUUCAUAUCUCCUUCCAGUGGCUCAAUUUAGAUUUUGGGAAGGAGCAGAACAAGUGAAACACAGAAAACUGAAGAGAAGAAAUCCUCAUUUUGGACCUAUAUUUCUCCUUGACUAUUUCUUAAUAUCCAUCCUACCCAUCGUUCUAAUGUUUUAACUUUGCUCUGAAUUUAUAAAUAGUAAAGGCCAAAGACAUAGAAUAUACAUUUAGUAGCUUUAUACCAAGAAAUUUGCCUUGAAAGCUGCUGUUCGUGGAGGGAAAAGUGUAGCAAAUUCCUGUCUAUUUUUAUUUUUUAUUUUUUUUUAACAAAGACAAGAUUUAUGUCCCUAGAUUUUGAAGGUUAAGGCAAAUAUAAAUACAUAUCUGCACACUAUUUUUUAGCAGUUGCAUGAGUAAGAGUAAUGAGAUUUGUAUUUUAAGGACUUUGUCAUGUGGAUGUUUUGGAGUUGACUGCUCAGAUCUUUUAUAGGGCUUUAAUAUUUUUGAUCUAUUACCUUGAUGACAUUAUUUGUCCACACUUGAGCCCAUCUGUCUUUCUAGCUAUGACCUUGUUAUGAACAGUAUUUGCACUCGGUGCAAAUAUCC